rnacentral:lncRNA from 1 species
AAUUGCUUAAAUUUUAUAAAAUAUAGGGAAAACUUCAAAUACCUCCCUUUGGUUUCGCACUAUCUCACUUUAGUAACCUGUGAUUUAAAGUGUAUUAAGUUAGCACCUGUAGUUUCGCACUUUCUUACUUUAGUACUGUAGUAUUCCUGGUGUGCGGCUUUUGAGGCUUGUCGACACAUUGUGAGAGUGUUGGGACAAGUCCGAGUCUCGUUGGCGCGAAAUAGACGCAAAACGGACUAAGC